rnacentral:rRNA from 1 species
AUUGAACGCUGGCAGCAGGCCUAACACAUGCAAGUCGAACGGUGGCACAGAGAGCUUGCUCUCGGGUGACGAGUGGCGGACGGGUGAGUAACGUCUGGGAAACUGCCCGAUGGAGGGGGAUAACUACUGGAAACGGUAGCUAAUACCGCAUAACGUCGCAAGACCAAAGUGGGGGACCUUGGGGCCUCACACCAUCGGACGCGCUCAGAUGCGAUUAGCUAGUAGGUGGGGUAAUGGCUCACCUAGGCGACGAUCCCUAGCUGGUCUGAGAGGAUGACCAGCCACACUGGAACUGAGACACGGUCCAGACUCCUACGGGAGGCAGCAGUGGGGAAUAUUGCACAAUGGGCGCAAGCCUGAUGCAGCCAUGCCGCGUGUAUGAAGAAGGCCUUCUGGUUGUAAAGUACUUUCAGCGGGGAGGAAGGCGGUGAAGUUAAUAGCUUCACCGAUUGACGUUACCCGCAGAAGAAGCACCGGCUAACUCCGUGCCAGCCGCCGCCGUAA